UACGAAGGGGGCUAGCGUUGUUCGGAGUUACUGGGCGUAAAGCGCACGUAGGCGGAUAUUUAAGUCAGGGGUGAAAUCCCGGGGCUCAACCCCGGAACUGCCUUUGAUACUGGGUAUCUCGAGUCCGAGAGAGGUGAGUGGAAUUCCGAGUGUAGAGGUGAAAUUCGUAGAUAUUCGGAGGAACACCAGUGGCGAAGGCGGCUCACUGGCUCGGUACUGACGCUGAGGUGCGAAAGCGUGGGGAGCAAACAGG
rnacentral:rRNA from 1 species